CAGGCAUACAUUGUCACCCCCACACACAUUGUCACCCCAUACACAUACACUUUCAGUCCCCACACACUUUCUCCCUCUUCACCCAGCCACACUCACAUUAAACCUUCCUAAUCCUGUCACUCUCACCCCCUCUAACCAUACCAAACUCACCUGCUCUUGCUUUACCACAAUUACAUUAUCACAUUUAACCCCCCUUAAUCCAAUCAGACUCACCUUCUCUUGCACUGUUGCACACAGUCCCCAACCCUGUCACACUCAUCCUCUAUCAGUCUGUUCCACUCGCCCCCUUCACCCUGCCACACUCACCCUACCACAUAAGCCCCUCCAACCCUGUCCUCCAACUGUGCCACACUCGCCCCAACCCUGCCACACUCACCCUUCCACAUUAAUCUAAUCUUGCCACAUUAACCUCCUUAAUCUUGUCACUCUCA